GACUUCGUGGUCAAGUGGUACAGAUACUUGCCUCUCACCCAGGAGUCCCGAGGUCGAUCCCCGGUCGAGGAGCU